CACCUCCCAAAAGAAAACUAGAUUUGACAGAAACGAGAUACAGAGCGAGAUUAUACAAUAUUCAUAUCCAUAUGUUUUAUUUCAAAUGUAUUAAAAGGGGGCUGUUAAUAUACUCAUACUUGUUUUUUAGGAGUUUAUUAGCAGGAUAAACCUCUGCGAGUAUUUAAAUAAGUCCAAGUUGUAAUUUCCCAAAAUACUCCAUCUAAAAAACAGAGAAGUAUACUAGUCUGAGUGGGUGCUAAUAUACUCCUAUUUGUUUUAUAGGAUUACUUUAAUGAAUCCAAUUCUUAAAAUGCUGGCUUAAUCUUUAUAAAACACAAAAAAGUAUCUUAGCAAGCUCAGUAUUGAAAUUUUCCUCUUUCGGAUGGAGAGGGACAGCAAAGCAUAUAUGUGUCAAAUAUCAAUGAAUUCAUACCAGAUCUUUCUUCUUGCCAGUACCACCCUUCCUAACCUUGGCUUCUGUUAUCCACCCAGGUGGUAAAUCCUCAACUUGGGACUUCUUGUCCGAAUCCUAAAACAUUUCCAAAACUAAAAUAUAUUGAAAAACAGUUGUAUCACAAUAACAUAAUUUUCAAAGUUCUAAUAGUAUUCAAUGGACAAAAUAGAAAUUCAUCCAAUCCAAUGAUCAAUUUCACUAACGAUAUUUUAAAAUGUACAAUACCGGAUCUAUCCUUUUGCCGUUACUGCCCUUCCUAAUUUUGACUUUUGUUAAAUGCCCAGGUGGUAAAUCCUCUAUGAUGGACUUCUCAACAGCAUUCUAAAAUAAAUUUCCAAAAAUUAUAAGGAGUGCAUAUUCGAAAACAAGUUUGUCAAGAUAACUCAUAGCUUCCAAGUUCUAAUAAUACUAAAUUUAUUCAAGAAUCAGUUUGAUGAACAAUAUUUUAAAAGGUACAUGAUAUUUUUUUUAUCUUUUUACUGGAUCCAUAGCUACCUUGAUUAAUAGUUUUAGAACACAAGCUUAAUUCAGAUAAUAAUAACUACACCUAUUUACUUAUGCAGGGGCAUAGAUUAAUAGAGAAAAACCUAUGCACUGACAGGGUAAAAUAAUUUUAUACAGUCAUCAUAUAAAAUCCACCAUGUAUAGUAAGUUUGUUGAUUUUUACAAUAAUUAUCUUCGAAGUCAUACCAGCAAUCAUUUACAAUUGGAUGACAAUGUAAAACUAUUUUACACUGUCAGUGCAUGAAUAUUAAACUUAUCUAUUGAUCAGAUUGCUAUCAAACAAUGUGAUUGACAGAGUUUUCUUUCCUUUUAAUCUUUUAAUAGUUAACAGUUAGAAGCAAUGGGAAUUAGUAAUAGUUGAUAAAAGCUACCAUUGUCAGAUAGUAUAAUUCAUAUUGAGUAGACAAGCCUUACAGAUACUUUGUCUUCAUCUUGGUUUUGUCGUUUAAAUGGUUUAAUCGCACACGCACUUAUAUCACCAGACUUAACAUAGCGCAGUGCAUCCUUCUUGGAGCGAAAGACAUAUCCACUCACCGGAUCUAUAUAAAACUGUGGGAAGUAUAACCCAAUCAUAAUUUUACAUAAGUACUAAACAUUUUUCUACAGCAAUAUAUUACAAUAUGACGUAAAAAACCAAACUAGAUUUGAUUUGCUAACCACCACCUCCCAAAAGAAGAAAUACAAUUAAAAAAACUAGAUUUGACAGAAAUGAAAGAUUAUAUAAGUCAUAAAUAUCCCUUUUAUUUUGUUUCAAAUGUACCAAAGGGAGGCUGUUAAUAUACUUCCACUUGUUUCUAGGAGUAUUAUAGCAUGCUACACGUCUGACAGUAUUUUAAUAAGUCCAAAAAUAUAAUUUCCUAAAAUACUCCAUCUAGAAACAAGGAAGUAUACUCCCAUAAUUUUUGUAGGAUUAUUUUCAAAAAUUCAAGUUUUAACUUUCUAGCAAGCCCUGUAUUAAAAAAAUCUUCUUUUGGGUGGAGGGGAACAACAAACCGUAUAUCUAUCAAAUAUUGAUGGAAUUUCAUACCAGAUCUUUCCUAUUGCCAGUACCACCCUUCCUAACCUUGGCUUCUAUUGUCCACCCAGGUGGUAAAUCCUCAACUGGGGACUUCUCGACCGUAUCC
rnacentral:lncRNA from 1 species